rnacentral:misc_RNA from 1 species
UCCGGUUUGACACCGGCAGUCCCGCUAGAGUCCCCGGCAUAACCCGAUGGUAACUAGCGGCAGGGGUUGCGCUCGUUAGAGGACUUAACCCGACGCUUCACAGCACGAGCUGACGACAGCCAUGCAGCACCUGUUCACGUUCCGAUCUUGCGAUUGUGGCUCCCGUUUCCGGGAGUUAAUCCGUGUAUGUCAAACCCAGGUAAGGUUCUUCGCGUUGCAUCGAAUUAAUCCACAUCAUCCACCGCUUGUGCGGGUCCCCGUCAAUUCCUUUGAGUUUUAAUCUUGCGACCGUACUCCCCAGGCGGGAUGCUUAACGCGUUAGCUUCGCUACAGGACGGGUCGAGCGCCCUACAGCUAGCAUCCAUAGUUUACGGCGUGGACUAC